UACGGAGGGAGCUAGCGUUAUUCGGAAUUACUGGGCGUAAAGCGCACGUAGGCGGCUUUGUAAGUUAGAGGUGAAAGCCUGGAGCUCAACUCCAGAAUUGCCUUUAAGGACUGCAUCGCUUGAAUCCAGGAGAGGUGAGUGGAAUUCCGAGUGUAGAGGUGAAAUUCGUAGAUAUUCGGAAGAAACACCAGUGGCGAAGGCGGCUCACUGGACUGGUAUUGACGCUGAGGUGGCGAAAAGCGUGGGGAGCCAAACAGG
rnacentral:rRNA from 1 species